rnacentral:rRNA from 1 species
UACGUAGGGUGCAAGCGUUGUCCGGAAUUAUUGGGCGUAAAGAGCUCGUAGGCGGUUUGUCGCGUCUGCCGUGAAAACUUGGGGCUUAACUCCGAGCUUGCGGUCGAUACGGGCAGACUUGAGUUCGGCAGGGGAGACUGGAAUUCCUGGUGUAGCGGUGAAAUGCGCAGAUAUCAGGAGGAACACCGGUGGCGAAGGCGGGUCUCUGGGCCGAUACUGACGCUGAGGAGCGAAAGCGUGGGGAGCGAACGG